GAUGAACGCUGGCGGCGUGCCUAAUACAUGCAAGUCGAGCGAACAGACGAGGAGCUUGCUCCUCUGACGUUAGCGGCGGACGGGUGAGUAACACGUGGAUAACCUACCUAUAAGACUGGGAUAACUUCGGGAAACCGGAGCUAAUACCGGAUAAUAUAUUGAACCGCAUGGUUCAAUAGUGAAAGACGGUUUUGCUGUCACUUAUAGAUGGAUCCGCGCCGCAUUAGCUAGUUGGUAAGGUAACGGCUUACCAAGGCAACGAUGCGUAGCCGACCUGAGAGGGGGAUCGGCCACACUGGAAGUGAGACACGGACCAGACUCCUACGGGAGGCAGCAGUAGGGAAUCGUCCGCAAUGGGCGAAAGCCUGACGGAGCAACGCCGCGUGAGUGAUGAAGGUCUUCGGAUCGUAAAACUCUGUUAUUAGGGAAGAACAAAUGUGUAAGUAACUAUGCACGUCUUGACGGUACCUAAUCAGAAAGCCACGGCUAACUACGUG
rnacentral:rRNA from 1 species